UACGGAGGGUGCGAGCGUUGUCCGGAAUCACUGGGCGUAAAGGGCGCGUAGGCGGCUCAUGAAGGCUGUGGUGAAAGUCCGGGGCUCAACCUCGGAUCGGCCGUGGCGACUCGUGGGCUGGAGCACUGUAGAGGCGGGUGGAAUUCCGGGUGUAGCGGUGGAAUGCGUAGAGAUCCGGAAGAACACCAGUGGCGAAGGCGGCUCACUGGCUCAUUUCUGACGCUCAGGCGCGACAGCGUGGGGAUCAAACAGG
rnacentral:rRNA from 1 species